AGCGAACGCUGGCGGCAGGCCUAACACAUGCAAGUCGAACGAACCUUUCGGGGUUUGUUGCGGUCGGGUGAUUAACACCUGGUAACUUGCCUUUAGGUUCGGUAUCACUCACUUAAACUUGUGCUAAUACCGCUUGUGCCCUUCUGGGGUAAGAUUAGUCGGCUUUAGAGCGGCCCGCGUCUUUUUAGCUUGUUGGUUGAGGUAAUGGCACACCAAGGCGACGAUCAGUAGCUGGUCUGAGAGGAUGAUCAGAGACAUUGGGACUGAGACACGGCCCAAACUCGUACGGGAAGCAGCAGUGGGGAAUCUUGCGGAAUGGGCGAAAGGCUGACGCAGCAAUGGGGGGAGAAUGAUGAAGGGGUUAGGAUAGUAAAAUUCUUUGAACGGGGAGGAUAAUGACGGUACCCGGAGAAGAAGCCCCGGCUAACUACGUG
rnacentral:rRNA from 1 species